rnacentral:pre_miRNA from 3 species
UCUUAUGGAUGAGCAAAGAAAAUGGUUUCUUGAGAUGAAACUUAUUUCUGGUGAAGAUGCUCUGAA